GAGAUUGAAAGUGAAGGGCCUUUAUUCAGUGGAGUUUAAAAGAAAGUGAUAUUAUCUCAUGGAAGCGUGUAGACUCUGGGCAAGUCUGACUUGACCUCCGCACAGAGUUAUAUUUAUUUUUGAAAGUCUGAUCUUGCUGAAAGGAGGUGAUGAGUACUGCGGUGGGAGCAGAAGGAGAUGGAACUGUGACAUGCUUCCAGUUGAGGGAAGCCAGUGGAGAUGAAGCCCGGGAAGCUCCAAGGAGGCAGAAAAUGAAAGCAAACAUGGCAACGUGCAUAAUAAGGGGAUUUACACUUGCAAACAGCAGCUUAGAGGAAUGCAAGAUACAUGGAUCUGAGGACGUUUGAGGAGUCUGCACUCUGAGGUUCAGCCAGCACAAGUAUGCCGAAAAAAACGUAAGUGGAAAAGAUGGUCUAUCAAGCACUUCCCUUUAAAAGCCAUUAAAAAUCACAGUGUCCAGCUUAUAUCUUCAAACUGCAUCCAGCUCAUCAGCAUUGACCUGGCUAAUCCAGUGACCUCCAGUGUAUCAGCUUCAAAUUCCUGCCACAUGUGUCAUUUCAUACCUUCUGUUCCCCAGAUUCUGAAUUGUAGACAUUUUAUCAUUAUCAUUUUCUACCUAACAUUAAAUCUUCUGGAGAUAGUCACAAAAUGCUGGAGUAACUCAGCAGGACAGGCAGCAGGACAGGCAGCAAACCCUUCUUCCGACCCAAAAUGUCACC